GAGGAAUAUUGGUCAAUGGGCGAGAGCCUGAACCAGCCCAGUCGCGUGAAGGAAGAAGGCUCUAUGGUUCGUAAACUUAUUUUGCAGGGGAAUAAAGUGCAGGACGUGUCCUGUUUUGUAUGUACCCUGAGAAUAAGGAUCGUCUAACUCCGUGCCAGCAGCCGCGGUAAUACGGAGGAUCCGAGCGUUAUCCGGAUUUAUUGGGUGUAAAGGGAGCGUAGGCGGACUAUUAAGUCAGCUGUGAAAGUUUACGGCUCAACCGUGAAAUUGCAGUUGAAACUGUUCGUCUUGAGUGCAGUAAAGAUGGGCGGAAUUCGUGGUGUAGCGGUGAAAUGCUUAGAUAUCACGAAGAACUCCAAUUGCGAAGGCAGCUCACUGGAGUGUAACUGACGCUGAUGCUCGAAAGUGUGGGUAUCAAACA
rnacentral:rRNA from 1 species